AGCCAAUGGCGAUUCUAUUGCCAAGGUGUGCGUAGAGGGUUGAAUGUACAGUCUUAUAGAAAUAAUGAAAGUACAAAAUAAAUGUAGUAUUAGCUGAACUUGUAAAUAAUUGAACAUGAGACAGUGAUUUUUUUUUUUUUUUUUUUUUUUGUCAAUGUUGACUUGAGGUUUUAUCUAUAACACUAGCUCAGCAGAUACCACAACAGCGUCAGAAACAACCCUGUCCACUUCGGCCACUCUCUCUUCAACUGCUUUUCAAGUCCCAACAACUCUUUCUGGAAUAUCCACCAGUAGUGCAGCAAUUACCAUGACAGCACCACAAUCAACAGCUUCUACCUUGGCUUCAGUCAGCUCCUUUUCACCAGCCUUUGACACAUUAACCACUAGUGCUACAACGGUCAUCCCUUCUACGGAUUCUACAGCCUCUACAGCUUCUCCAGCAUCUACAGCAUUGACAACCAUUACAGUAUCUACAGCUUCUACAACAUCUACAUCUUCCAGGACAACUACUGCAAAAUUAGUAACUGAGGUGCUAACAGAUCUGGAGUUUCGCUCCACAGACACAUUUAUAGACGCACUGAAGGAUUCAAAGUCUGCAGAGCACAAGAAUAUGGCUAAGCUUGUCAGGGAUGAGACCCAAGUAUGCUAACUUCCUCAAAGUGAUUGUCCUAGGAUUCAGACAAGGGUCAAUCAUCACAUCAACACAACUAGUCUUCACCUUUAACCAAACUAUUCCAUCCAUUCAAGAGAUUUCAACCUUCCUCUUGAGAGCAGUGGAAACAGGAGAAGUCAAUCAACUGAACAGGAUUCCUCAAUCAAUUUUAGUCAAUGGUUCAGCUUUAGCUACAACUGUGGCAGCCUAAGCAAGAACAUUAAGUAAAGCAACCACUUCAACCACAGCAACUACAACUUCAGGUGGAUUAAAGAUUGAAUCCAGUCUGCUCCAAGCUACAUGCUUCAUUAUUAUGUCUAAAAUAUUUAGGCUUUCCCUAUAAAUCCCUUAAACAUAUAAAUCAAGCAAACGUGAGAUUGCAUCCAGACAUGCUGUUACAAACUAAACAGCAAAUCCAUUUUUCUCAUUACAUGGUUUAUAGUAUUUGCCAUUGCUGUACACACUCAAAUAAUGGUAAUAUAAGCUAGUAUAUAAAUAUAUUGCAUUGUUCUUCAGUUAACAGUAGACUAAUUAAGAAAAAUCUAUAAAUUUGUUGUAUUAUUGGUUGUAUGUGUUUUUCCUAAUAAUGUCUGUUUUCCAAAUUAAACAAGUUAAAAAAAAUGUGAAAUGUGUUUGUUGGGCUGUUCUAAGGUUAAAUGUGG
ensembl:lncRNA